UACAGAGGUGCCGAGCGUUAGGCGGAACCACUGGGCUUAAAGCGUGUGUAGGCGGGUUUGUAAGUAUCUUGUGAAAUCCCACGGCUCAACCGUGGAACUGCUGGGUAUACUGCGAAUCUUGAGCCACUUAGGGGCAACCGGAACAAAUGGUGGAGCGGUAAAAUGCGUAGAUAUCAUUUGGAACGCCAAUGGUGAAAACAGGUUGCUGGGAGUGUGCUGACGCUGAGACACGAAAGCCAGGGGAGCGAACGGG
rnacentral:rRNA from 1 species